AUGGAGAGCAACGGCGAGCCCCCCAACAAGGCCCCCGCGGUCGUCACCGGCGCGGCCGCUGCGGUCCCUGGAGGCGGCAUGGAUUUCUUGAGCCGCCUCCCCGACCACCUCCUCGUCGACAUCCUCCUCCGCCUCCGCACCAAGGAAGCCGUCGCGACGACCGUCCUCUCCCGGAGAUGGCGCGGCAUAUGGGCCCAGCUUCCCCACCUCUUCUUCGACGGCGUACACCCCUCCGUGCCCGCCCGUGCCCUCGCGGCCUACGAGGCCCUCGCCGCCUCGGAGGCGCACGCGGCCGCCGACAUCCAGAGCCUCGCCGUCUCGCUCGACCAGGUGGACGCGCGGGAGACCUUCGCCUGGCUUUCCCUCGCCGCGCCCCUCUGCGGCCGGCUCCACCUCGACGACAGCCGCGCUGUGUCGGACGAAAUGGUAGAGCUCUUUCGGGGACGACGACGACGGCACGACGGCGAGGCGUCCGAGAUGCCCUGCUUCAGGAGAGCCACAGAGAUUCGACUUCGCCUCGGGUUUCUUACCCUCGAGCUGCCACGGGUUGGCGUCUUUGAUGCGCUUAGGCUGAUGCGGUUGCAGAACUUCCAGUCCCGGGGCCAGUUUCUCAUCAGCGACACCAUGCUCCCGUCCUUGCAAGAACUAACCAUGAGCGGAGUCCGUGACAUGAACGUGCUGACGCUCAACUCCAAGUCUCUGGUAUCUAUUGAUCUGUCCUAUCUCAUGGGGCUUCAGCGUCUCCACAUCACGGCUCCAGGGCUCCAUCAGCUAGAUGUGGUACGCUGCUUCUAUGAUUCUCUCAAACCAGUUGCCAGCAUUACUGCAGAGAGAUUAGAGGUGUUCAGGUGGAAUGGGCCUUAUGAUCUAGAGUCUGUCCACCUCGGAGAGAUGCCUCCAGACGCUCGGAGCACCUCCUAUCGACACACAUCGUUGGCGAGGUUUUCAGAUGGCUCAGAUAUGUGCAGGGUUUCUUGGUCGCUUUACAGCAGUUCACCACCUUGA
rnacentral:rRNA from 1 species